ACUACUGAAACACCAUUAAUUUAACAUUACAGAAGUUCAGUAUGGUAAUUGCACUCAUGUACUACUGAAAGUGAAACACCAUUAAAGGUACACAUUGCCCUAGCUGGUUCUGCCUAGAUGUUCAUUGUCAAUCAACAUUUGUACAUGUGUGACAUGCAUCUGAAAUGAUUCAGCUUAGCUACCGUACACAGAUUUCCCGAUCCAAAAGAGAGACGAAAAAUCGAUAGAGCACGACUGACCGAACUUGCUGCUCCCGGCUAAUCAACUAACUUCCGG
rnacentral:lncRNA from 1 species